GGGGGUGAACGGUUUCGACUCUGGACGUCGAUCAAGGGGAAGCGUGUCGAGGAAGGCGACGAUGAUCUCGUUAACCAUAUGUCGCAAAACACAAGUGCCGCUCCUAAGCAGCACGAGUUCGCCCUCGCCGCCUGAGCGAGUGUGACUCUGUCGGACCGGGUGCGUUCCCCGACCCGGACCUCGGCAUCAGUUAGGGGACUCACCUGUCCACCCGGUCGCGGGGUGGACAGGGACAGCGAACAGCGACUGGGAUCGUCACACCGGCUCGUUCGCAUGACCGGUGGAUCCGAGUAGAGGCAACGCGAACUGCACACGGAGAAGCCCUUGUGAAGCGACAGAGGACCCGGGUUCGAUUCCCGGCACCUCCACCC
rnacentral:tmRNA from 1 species